UACGUAGGGGGCAAGCGUUGUCCGGAUUUAUUGGGCGUAAAGAGCGUGUAGGCGGCCUGAAAGGUCAGCUGUGAAAACUCGAGGCUCAACCUCGAGACGUCGGUUGAAACCAUCUGGCUAGAGUCCGGAAGAGGAGUGUGGAAUUCCCGGUGUAGCGGUGAAAUGCGCAGAUAUCGGGAAGAACACCCGUGGCGAAAGCGGCUCUCGUGGAACGGUACUGACGCAUGAGACGGCGAAAAGCGUGGG
rnacentral:rRNA from 1 species